CAGGGUAGGCGUGAGGUCACUGAGCUGGGCGAGCCAGCCCCCGACCCACCUGCUCCGUUGCCCGAGCCCCGCACCCCAGCCACGCUCACAACCCGCCCCCUGUGGCCCCGGCUGCUCCGACUUGGGGUCUUACUGUUCAGUCCUUGGGCUCACACAGAUCUGCCUGCUCUGAACGCUGGGGGUGAAAGGUAUGGACAACCAUCCCUGGCAUGUUCUUUACAUUGUAAAGGAAAGCACCCAAGUUGGAAAGACUAUAUAGAAAACUCAGUAUCUGCAAACAAGAAGUCAGGUUGCCUGCCUGGCAGAUCCUCACUUGAAUGUGGCCUCCCUCAGGAGGUGGGUGAUGAUGGGCACUGCAGUCAGGCGACUCUGCUCCUAAGUAGAGGAACAUGGAGCUGCACCCCACCUGAGAAACCUAUUUCUGCCAGGCUUUCCCUGGCUCCACUCCUGUACCACAAACCUGCCAUAGAGAAGUCUCUUUACCUGCUGUAUCAGAAACUGAUUAUGGAGUCCAAGCAAGCAAAGACCAGUCGGCACAGACUCAAAGUUAGCAUGUAUUUUCAUUUCUACAAGAUCCUUUUUGAGUUGUAGGGAAAUUAAAUCGAUGUAUAUACAAAUUAGACACUGCUAGUAUGUACAAAAGUCUUUUCUACAUUUUUGACAAUAUCAACUAUGCCAUUUGCAGUAAACAGGAUGUUACAAAACUGUCCAAUAAAGCAUUUUCUAUUAAGCACA